rnacentral:rRNA from 1 species
UACUCCUACGGGAGGCAGCAGUGGGGAAUUUUGCGCAAUGGACGAAAGUCUGACGCAGCGACGCCGCGUGUGGGAUGACGGUCUUCGGAUUGUAAACCACUGUCGGGAGGGACGAAUACGCCGCAAGGCGGGUGACGGUACCUCCAAAGGAAGCACCGGCUAACUCCGUGCCAGCAGCCGCGGUAAU